rnacentral:lncRNA from 1 species
CCUUUCCCUUUUCUCUCCCAUGAAGUGAUAAAGAUAAAGCUUGUUGGAAACAGUCCUGAGUGAAAACCAACCCAUGAUGCUUGCUGCAAAGUCCACUGGGGAAGAGGAUCUGAGGGCCCCCGAGGAGACGGCUGGCAGAUCCCAGCAGACUCACAUGGCUUCCACGCAGCUCAGCCUUGCUGGGGACAGGGCUGGUAUCAACUUCUCCUGUCAUUUCAACAGCAGGAUCCAGCUGCAUUUGGAGCUAACUGCAUCUCAUUUGUUUACAAGGUUCUGCAUCUCAUCUGGCAGAGACUGUCCUGGAGACGUGAACACCCCGCUGUGAAUGUCCUGCCUGUUGGAGGAUGCUGUGCCACAUAGCCCUCUCUCCUUCCACUGAGACUGCUCUUGCUAAUGGAACCCCCAGGGUGAGAGCCUGGCGCCCGGGGUGUUUCCAUUCUUGCUCUUCCAGCAGAAGAAGCCUGUGCGGUGUGGAUCCAACGAGCAGUGCAGUGAGUCAGCUUAAAACAGCAUCAACCCAGGGCUUAAAACAUGAGCAUGGCUUUCCUGAGGCCGUCAUCCACCUUCUCGAUGCCUGUGCUGUGACACAGCCCUGGAUUCAGGCAAAGUAGAGAUGAGGAAAACUGACCAAGAAGACCCAACUGGAAAGAAACUGAAAUCAGAGCCAAGAUCACCCAAGGGAGCCGUGAAGCCCAAAAGAGCUGGGAACGGAUGGCAAAUCCAGAGGCAAGGCCACUGGGCAGAUGACAGGAAAUUACAUGAAAACAAGAAAGUUUUAAAGCAAAAGGUGGAGGUGGAGCCCAGAGAAUUUCCCCGAAUUGGAGAGCAUAGCAGCAGGGUGUUUGGAAGGCAGCUGCAGCCUCAUGACCUGCAGUGAAGGGAGAGAAGGCAGUCAUGGUAACCGCCCAGCCAGCCAGCGCCCCACGGUUUUACAUUUUAAUUCCUCCAAGCCACGCACUCUGAGUGCAAGAUAGAGAGACAAAGACAGAGAGAGAGACAGAUAUGGGUUGAGGGGAG